CGGCGAACCCACAGCUGAAGAAAACGUCCACAUGGCUUCAUGUGAGUCUCUGUCUACAUCGGUUGAGUGUUUUCAGAUGAUUUUCUUUGGCGACCAGAGUAUGAGUUUGCUAUUGGAAGCCUAAAACUGCUUGCUGCGCUACAUGUUCUAGAAUAGUUAAAUCAUCUACUAGAAUGGACGAGACCAACCAGGCUAUUGAACGCUCUAAACAGCUAAGUUACACAGGAAAGAAGUGUAUUCCACUUGGGUCUUUGAUGAUGUAUCUCUAGAUAACACUUUGUGUUUCUUUUCAGGUUGUUCAUCACACAUUGGAAAUUGGUACACAGACUGCAGCUAAUCUAAAGGGCCAUGUAACACAAAGCAUGCACCAUCUUGUCCUCAUAUUCUUAUGAGGCGCACUGACCUAGAAAUUUUAGACUGAUCAAAUGGGGGCGGGUUGUGAACGAGCUAGACACGAUCCAGUUCUCUAUCAAGAAACCCUCGCAGCUGGUGAAAGAGAUAGGGAAGACAGGUAGCUACAGAUAAAUGCAUAAUGAUGUUCCUGUUUCUAAUUGUUUGCUGUGUUAUAGCCAUUAUCGUAGUGAAGAUCGUGAACCCAAACAACAAAGAUAUUAGAGACAUCCCUGGAAUAGGUCCUCCAGCGCGAUGCGAUCGAGAAGGCUAUUAUACUUGAGGAAUCCAGACCAGAGUACUUUUAGUUGGACCGGUUGGACCGAGCAAAGGACUCCAUGGUCGAGAAGGGUUUCGUACACAUUAAACUUUGUGUUACAUUAGUGGUUUUGUAUUACAUCAUCAUUCUUUUAAUCCUAUGCCCGUAUGUAAAAGUUUUAGUUCUAACUAAUAUUAUUCUUUUCAAAAAUAUAUGUAGUCCACUGAUUCGUCUUGUA